GCCUGGGUGGCUUAGUCGGUUGAGCGUCUGACUUUGGCUCAGGUCAUGAUCUCACGGUUCGUGGGUUCAAGCCCCAUGUCGGGCU
rfam:Felis catus isolate Cinnamon breed Abyssinian chromosome A2, whole genome shotgun sequence.